rnacentral:rRNA from 1 species
AUAAUAAAGAUUUAUCGGUAAAAGAUGGGCAUGCGUAUCAUUAGCUAGUUGGUGUGGUAACGGCAUACCAAGGCUACGAUGAUUAGGGGUCCUGAGAGGGAGAUCCCCCACACUGGUACUGAGACACGGACCAGACUCCUACGGGAGGCAGCAGUGAGGAAUAUUGGUCAAUGGAGGCAACUCUGAACCAGCCAUGCCGCGUGCAGGAUGACGGUCCUAUGGAUUGUAAACUGCUUUUGUACGGGAAGAAAUGUAAUUACGUGUAAUUAUUUGACGGUACCGUAAGAAUAAGGAUCGGCUAACUCCGUGCCAGCAGCCGCGGUAAUACGGAGGAUCCGAGCGUUAUCCGGAAUUAUUGGGUUUAAAGGGUUCGUAGGCGGUUUAGUAAGUCAGUGGUGAAAUCUUGCAGCUUAACUGUAAAAUUGCCGUUGAUACUGCUAAACUUGAAUAGUAUGGAAGUAAUUAGAAUAUGUAGUGUAGCGGUGAAAUGCUUAGAUAUUACAUGGAAUACCAAUUGCGAAGGCAGAUUACUACGUACUUAUUGACGCUGAUGAACGAAAGCGUGGGUAGCGAACAGGAUUAGAUACCCUGGUAGUCCACGCCGUAAACGAUGGAUACUAGCUGUUCGGUCUUCGGAUUGAGUGGCUAAGCGAAAGUGAUAAGUAUCCCACCUGGGGAGUACGUUCGCAAGAAUGAAACUCAAAGGAAUUGACGGGGGCCCGCACAAGCGGUGGAGCAUGUGGUUUAAUUCGAUGAUACGCGAGGAACCUUACCAAGGCUUAAAUGUAGAUUGACAGGUUUAGAGAUAGACUUUCAUUCGGGCAAUUUACAAGGUGCUGCAUGGUUGUCGUCAGCUCGUGCCGUGAGGUGUCAGGUUAAGUCCUAUAACGAGCGCAACCCCUAUUGUUAGUUGCCAGCGGGUGAUGCCGGGAACUCUAACAAGACUGCCGGUGCAAACCGUGAGGAAGGUGGGGAUGACGUCAAAUCAUCACGGCCCUUACGUCUUGGGCUACACACGUGCUACAAUGGCCAGUACAGAAAGCAGCUACCAGGCAACUGGAUGCGAAUCUCAAAAGCUGGUCUCAGUUCGGAUUGGAGUCUGCAACUCGACUCUAUGAAGCUGGAAUCG